rnacentral:rRNA from 1 species
GUGGGGAAUAUUGGACAAUGGGCGCAAGCCUGAUCCAGCCAUACCGCGUGGGUGAAGAAGGCCUUCGGGUUGUAAAGCCCUUUUGUUGGGAAAGAAAUCCUGUCGGUUAAUACCUGGCGGGGAUGACGGUACCCAAAGAAUAAGCACCGGCUAACUUCGUGCCAGCAGCCGCGGUAAUACGAAGGGUGCAAGCGUUACUCGGAAUUACUGGGCGUAAAGCGUGCGUAGGUGGUGGUUUAAGUCCGUUGUGAAAGCCCUGGGCUCAACCUGGGAAUUGCAGUGGAUACUGGAUCACUAGAGUGUGGUAGAGGGAUGCGGAAUUUCUGGUGUAGCAGUGAAAUGCGUAGAGAUCAGAAGGAACAUCCGUGGCGAAGGCGGCAUCCUGGGCCAACACUGACACUGAGGCACGAAAGCGUGGGGAGCAAACAGGAUUAGAAACCCUUGUAGUCC